rnacentral:rRNA from 1 species
GACGAACGCUGGCGGCGUGGAUUAGGCAUGCAAGUCGAACGGUAUCAUCCUUUCGGGGGUGAGAGAGUGGCGAACUGGUGAGUAACACGUAGGUUAUCUACCCUCAAGACGGGGACAACCCAGGGAAACUUGGGCUAAUACCGGAUGUGAGCAACUUUUAGUUGUUUGAAAGGUGGCGUAAGCUGUCGCUUGGGGAUGAGCCUGCGUCCUAUUAGUUAGUUGGUGAGGUAACGGCUCACCUAGGCAAUGAUAGGUAGGCGGCCUUAACGGGUGGUCGCCCACACUGGGAUUGAGAUACGGCCCAGACUCCUACGGGAGGCAGCAGUCGAGAAUAGUCUACAAUGGUCGGAAGACUGAUAGUGCGACGCCGCGUGAACGAUGAAUCCCUUCGGGGUGUAAAGUUCUUUUAUAUGUGAGCAGUGCUUCUUAUAUUAACAGUAUGGGGAAGAGAUAUUAGCAUAUGAAUAAGCAACGGCUAACUCCGUGCCAGCAGCCCGACGGUAAACACG